CUUCAAUACCUGCCUCUGUCUGGGGCCUUUCAUUUGCCCCUAUCUGUUCCCUCCUCCUACACUGCCUCUCUACAGACCUGUGCUAGACCAGUAGUUUUCCAAGGUCACUCCCAAGAACUGGUAUGCAUUCAUAACAACAAAGUUAUCUCCAAAGCACACGUCAAGUGCCAAGAAAAAGAAGGUCGACGUGGUGAGUCUCCCAGUAAGCCAAGUUUGUUCAAUUUUUAAAUUGGAGAUUAUCUCCUACCAGAUGAUGGCAUUUGCUUUUUAAAAUGUGCUUCAUUAGACAAAUAAAAAUUAGCAGUCCUUCAAAUUAAAAGGCUUUAGAGGGGGGAACUGAGGUAAAUGAGUCUGUUAAAUUCCAAAGAUUAUAAACCGCCUCGAGAGAAAGGACUCAGGCCUGGAGAGGUGGAGGGUGCCACGAUAGGUCAUUGGGAUCUAAAUAAAGAUCUUCUGACUUGAAACUAGGGCUCACUGUUCACUGACACCUCACCCUUAGCUUGUCACCACCAGAUCCAAUUCCCUUCGAAUGGCCCCCCCAAGCUUACUCCACAAGAGCGCNNNNNNNNNNNNNNNNNNNNNNNNNNNNNNNNNNNNNNNNNNNNNNGGCUGAGGUUCCCAGCCCACGCCUUCCCAAGAGUCCAUGACUGACUAAAAGGAGUUUGAUAACUCAGCUUUCCUCCUUCAUAAAGGGUGGUUUGUCCAGAAUGCUUUUAGUAUGACAAAGGGGUACUUGAGCAUGGUUUUCUGGCAAGUUGUGUCUCCUUCUGGAUAUUUACAAGUCAAACGGAAGCCAGACAGGGCUCUGCCAAUCCAUGAAUCCACAGCCAGUGGGUGGAAGGGCCAUCACAGGCCAAGUAAAUGCCAUGUGCAAUCUGAGCGCUGACUGUCACUUGCUCCCUUCUUACCUGCACAUUCAGUCGCAGCUCAGAGGCCUCAGUGGGCACACUGUGUAUGUAACAAAGGUUACUAUAUAUGUCUCUUUGCUGUGAUAUAGACUACUUUGAACCUACUGGGUAUCCCUUUGCAUUUAUAUUCUUAAAGCUGAAAGUGGUCCCUGCAUGUAGUGAAAGCAGAGGUGGUGAAGCAGCUGGGCUGAACAAAGAAUGCCAGGGCCCUGUCCAGAGAGGGAGGGGAGGGCAUAACGCCCCAGCACACAGGUGGACUUCUGGGGCUGGCUACCAGCCCACACAGCCAGCGGACAUUGUGACCUGCUUCCAGCCAAGACCCAUCCGAAGGAUGCUUGCUGAAUGCCCAAAUGUCCCCCCCUCUCAUCUCCCCAGUCACUCACUCUUCCUUGGGGCAGGCUGA
rnacentral:lncRNA from 1 species